GAUGAACGCUGGCGGCGUGCCUAACACAUGCAAGUCGAACGAAGCUUGACGGAUGAUUUCUUCGGAAUGAAACCAGAUAUGACUUAGUGGCGGACGGGUGAGUAACACGUGAGCAACCUGCCUCUCAGAGGGGGAUAACGGCUGGAAACGGUCGCUAAUACCGCAUGAAGUGUUCGGAUGGCAUCAUCUGAACGUCAAAGAUUUAUCCGCUGAAAGAUGGGCUCGCGUCUGAUUAGAUAGUUGGUGGGGUAACGGCCUACCAAGUCGACGAUCAGUAGCCGGACUGAGAGGUUGAACGGCCACAUUGGGACUGAGAUACGGUCCAGACUCCUACGGGAGGCAGCAGUGGGGAAUAUUGCACAAUGGGGGAAACCCUGAUGCAGCAACGCCGCGUGAAGGAUGACGGUUUUCGGAUUGUAAACUUCUUUUCUUAGUGACGAAGACAGUGACGGUAGCUAAGGAAUAAGCAUCGGCUAACUAC
rnacentral:rRNA from 1 species